rnacentral:rRNA from 1 species
AGGGAAUCUUGCACAAUGGGCGAAAGCCUGAUGCAGCAACGCCGCGUGAAGGAUGAAGGCCUUCGGGUUGUAAACUUCUGUUCUUAGGGAAGAAGAAAGUGACGGUACCUAAGGAGAAAGCCCCGGCUAACUACGUGCCAGCAGCCGCGGUAAUACGUAGGGGGCAAGCGUUAUCCGGAAUUAUUGGGCGUAAAGAGUGCGUAGGUGGUUAUCUAAGCGUAAGGUUUAAGCGUGCAGCUCAACUGCAUCUCGCCUUGCGAACUGGACUACUUGAGUGCAGGAGGGGAAAGCGGAAUUCCUAGUGUAGCGGUGAAAUGCGUAGAUAUUAGGAGGAACACCAGCGGCGAAGGCGGCUUUCUGGACUGUAACUGACACUGAGGCACGAAAGCGUGGGGAGCAAAC